GCCUGUGUAGCUCAGAUGCUAGAGCAUCAGACUUUUAAUCUGAGGGUCCAGGGUUCAAGUCCCUGCUCAGGCG
rnacentral:tRNA from 1 species